CCUACGGGUCGCACCAGUGGGGAAUAUUGCACAAUGGGCGCAAGCCUGAUGCAGCCAUGCCGCGUGUAUGAAGAAGGCCUUCGGGUUGUAAAGUACUUUCAGCGGGGAAGAAGGCGAUAAGGUUAAUAACCUUGUCGAUUGACGUUACCCGCAGAAGAAGCACCGGCUAACUCCGUGCCAGCAGCCGCGGUGAUACGGAGGGUGCAAGCGUUAACCGGAAUUACUGGGCGUAGAGCGCACGCAGGCGGUCUGUCAAGUCGGGUGUGAAAUCCCCGGGCUCAGCCUGGGAACUGCAUUCGAAACUGGCAGGCUAGAGUCUUGUAGAGGGGGGUAGAAUUCCAGGUGUAGCGGUGAAAUGCGUAGAGAUCUGGAGGAAUACCGGUGGCGAAGGCGGCCCCCUGGACAAAGACUGACGCUCAGGUGCGAAAGCGUGGGGAGCAAACAGGAUUAGAUACCCCUGUAGUC
rnacentral:rRNA from 1 species